rnacentral:rRNA from 1 species
GACGAACGCUGGCGGCGUGCUUAACACAUGCAAGUCGAACGGAAAGGCCCUGCUUUUGCUGGGUUCUCGUGAGGCGAACGGGUGUGUAACACGCGAGUAACCCCUCCUUGUCUUUCGGAUAACUUUUGGGAACAGGGGCUAAUAUCGGGUAGGAGCUCCUGCUGCAUGUUGGGGGUUGGAGAGAUUCGGCGGUUGGGGAUGGACUCGAGGGUUAUCAGCUUGUUGGGGAGGUAGUGGAUUACAAAGGCUUUGAGGGGUAGGCGGCCUGAGAGGGUGACCGGCCACAUUGGGACUGCGAUACGGCCCAGAAUGCUAUGGGAGGCAGCAGGGGGGAAUAUUGCAGAAUGGGCGGGAGCCUGAUGCGGCAACGCCGCGUGCGGGAUGACGUCCUUCGAGUUGUGAACCGCUUUCGCCUGUGACGAAGCGUGAUUGACGGUAAUGAGUAAGGAAGCACCGGCUAACUACGUG